rnacentral:rRNA from 1 species
AAUGCGCGAAAGCGUGACGCAGCAACGCCGCGUGGGGGAAGACGGCCUUCGGGUUGUAAACCCCUUUCAGGAGGGACGAAGGCUCACCGGUGAAUAGCCGUGUGGGUUGACGGUACCUCCAGAAGAAGCUCCGGCUAACUACGUGCCAGCAGCCGCGGUAAUACGUAGGGAGCAAGCGUUGUCCGGAAUCAUUGGGCGUAAAGCGCGCGUAGGCGGCCCUGUAAGUCCGCUGUGAAAGUCAAAGGCUCAACCUUUGAAAGCCGGUGGAUACUGCAGGGCUAGAGUCCGGAAGAGGCGAGUGGAAUUCCUGGUGUAGCGGUGGAAUGCGCAGAUAUCAGGAGGAACACCAAUAGCGAAGGCAGCUCGCUGGGACGGUACUGACGCUAAGGCGCGAAAGCGUGGGGAGCGAACAGGAUUAGAUACCCUGGUAGUCCACGCCGUAAACGAUGGGCACUAGGUGUGGGAGGUGUCGACUCCUCCCGUGCCGUCGCUAACGCACUAAGUGCCCCGCCUGGGGAGUAC